rfam:Neotoma lepida isolate 417 scaffold_7399, whole genome shotgun sequence.
UGGCGCCCAAUGUGGGGCUCGAGAACGUGGAGGAUCAGUGAACUUCACACAUCAAGGCAGGCCUGCAUAUCAGUUGGACCACCAUGGAGAAUGCUCCACGAGCGAAGGUCUGGUCAGUGAUCUCCACAGGGAUGCCUGACCAUGAGACAGAUCCAGAGAGUUGAUUUGUGCUGAUGCAAGGUAAGUUUACCAUGGGACAAGCAUUUAGUAGCAGGAUUUAUUUAGCUCAGGACUUAAACAGUCUCUCAAGACACGAGGAAAAAGGUAAAAAGAAAGAUUUUAAAAAUUUUCUUGAUUAUAUUGGGGACCUUUGUCCCU